AGGAGUAAACAUUUGCUUAACAACUCACAUUAUAGGUUGCAUGGACUUCUGUCUGUGUGCAAUAAUAGUGUUUAACAUGAUUGUUGAACGACUACCUCAUCUCUAUAGCCCACACAUAUGAUUACCUGGAAGGUUCCUCAAUCGAGCAGUGAAUUUCAAACACAGAAUCAACCACAAAGACCAGGGAGAUUUUGCAAUGCCUCUCAAAGAAGGGAACCAUUUAGUAGACUCAAGGUUUAGAAUAGUUACGUAAUUAAAAUAUAUUACUCUUUAACUUCUACUUCAUCCCAAUCCCGGAUCCGGGAGCACCCCCAUCAGUAAAAAAGCUGACUAGCAUAGCCUAGCAUAGCGUCACAAGUAAAUACUAGCAUCUAAAUAUCAUUAAAUCACAAGUCCAAGACACCAGAUGAAAGAUACACAUCUUGUGAAUCCAGCCAUCAUUUCUGAUUUUUAAAAUGUUUUACCGGGAAGACACGAUAUGUAUUUCUAUUAGCUAACCACGAUAGCAAAAGACACAACUUUUUUUCCCACCAUUUUUUUUCCUGCAUAGGUAGCUAUCACAAUUUCGACCAAAUAAAGAUAGAAAUAGUCACUAACCAAGAAACAACUUCAUCAGAUGACAGUCUGAUAACAUAUUUGUUGUAUAGCAUAUGUUUUGUUAGAAAAAUGUGCAUAUUUCAGGUUUAAAUCAUAGUUUUACAUUGCAGCCACCAUCACAACUCUCACCAAGGUAACUAGAAUAACUACAGAGACCAACGUGAAUUACCUAAAUACUCAUCAUAAAACAUUUAUGAAAAAUACACAGCGUACAGCAAAUGAAAGACAAAGAUCUUGUCACGAAUCCCGCUUCCUGAGUCUGUUUUUGCCUGUGUUCUGUCCUGGAAUGUUUUUUCCGGUGUCCUGGAACACACCCUGUCUGGUUGCCGGGCGACGUAGCUAGUUGGAGGAUCUCUGAGUACCCGCACCUGUAUCCCAUCAGCUAUCUGCACACCUGGUCCUGAUCAUCACCCCUCCACUUCAUAAGCGCUGACCUGACAUCCAUUCCCUGCCGGAUCGUUAGCCACGAACAGUAUGUUGUGCCAGCGUAUCAGCCUCCAGUUUGAUAGAGUUUGUUUUGUUGUUUUGUACGUCUUGCUUGCCUUGAACUCACCUCCGUUUUUUCUGUCUACAGUCAUUCACCCGGAACACUCAUCCCAUCCCUACCUGGUCGUCGGUGACUUCAGUUACUUCCUUGGAUCUGCCAAUUCAAUCCCAUCAACUCACCUCCGCGGCCCGUACCGCCACUUGGAUUUUUCUAUCACUACAUUUAAACUUGUAAAUAAAUACUCACCUUCGUCUUACUCUCCUUGUCCUGGUCUGCUUCUGGGUUCUACUUUGGAAACCCGUGACAGAUCUUGUGAAUCAAGCCAAUAUUUCUGAUUUUUUAAGUGUUUUACAGCGAAAACACAAUAUAGCAUUAUAUUAGCUUACUACAAUAGCCAACCACACAGCAGCAUUGAUUCAAGCCAACAAUAGCGAUAACGAAUAAACCAGCAAAAGAUAUAAAUUUUUUCACUAACCUUCUCAAACCUCUUCAGAUGACAGUCCUAUAGCAUCAUAUUACACAAUACAUAUAGAGUUUGUUCGAAAAUGUGCAUAUUUAGCGGCACAAAUCGUGGUUAUACAAUGAGAAUAGUAGCCAAGCUGACAACAAAAUGUUGGGAGAAAUCUUGGGAGGCACCUAAUCUAAUCAUUAACUAAUCAUAAACUUGACAAAAAAAUACAGGUUGGACAGCAAAUGAAAGAUACAUUAGUUCUUAAUGCAACCGCUGUGUUACCUUUUUUAAAUUAACGUUACUACGACAUACAGCGUGAAAAGAGGAGUUCUAUAGGAUUGCAGAUGGUCUGCAAUGCUGACUGUGUGAUCAGCAAUGUUGUGGCAAAAUGGCCUGGCUCAGUCCAUGACUCCAGAAUCUUUCGGGCCUCUGAAAUCUAUCAGUGCCUAUCACAAGGUGAAUUCUCUGGUAUGUUGCUGGGAGACAGGGGGUAUGGCUGCCAGCCUUUUCUCCUGACAACUUUCACAGACCCCCAGGAAGCACAGCAGGCCUACAACCAUGCCCAUGCCAGGACCAGGGCCAGAGUUUAAAUGACCUUUGGCCUCCUGAAGGCACGCUUUCACUGCCUUCACAAAUUAAGGGUCAGCCCUGUUAGGGCAUGUGAUAUUACUGUGGCUUGUGCUGUCCUCCACAAUGUGGCCUGCCUGAGGAAGGAGAGGGCCCCCAGAGUGCCACCAGCCAUGGACUGGGACAAUCCGGCAAUCUUCCCUGAUGACGACAGUGGUCGGCUGCUGAGGGACCAAUAUGUGUUGAAUUAUUUUAGUUAGUAUGUGUGCUUUCAAUUUUGGUUAAAUAUGUCCUGCGGUGGCAGAGGAAUUUGGUUUUUUUUGGGUUCGUUUUUUUACGAAUUUGGCCUCUUAUGAUGUUUGUGCGGUAUACUGUGUGUAAUACAAGGCUGCAGGGAGGCUACUGCAUCCAUUCAUUUGUCUGUUCAGUUGAUGUGUAUGGAUUUGUCCUGCAUUUAUUUUAGUGUGCAGACAUGCAGGGUGUGUUAUAUACAGACCUUUGAAUGUGUAUGUAUCAUUUUGUAUAAUAUGCUUGGAUUCUGUGCUUUCCAUCUUGUAGAGUCACUGUGUCUUCAGUUUCGAAAGGAGCUGAUGGUUUACCU